CUCCUCCUCCUCCUGCUGCUGCUGCUGGGGCUCGGCUCUGGCUCGAUGGCGGCGCCCCGAGAUCCCUGCGGCCGGGGCCGGCUGUGGCUGUCGUCAGAUCCCCGUCUGGCCAGGGUUGAGCCCAGGGCUCUGUGCAUGCUGGGUGAGUACUUUACCACUGAGCCACAUCUCCAGCCUCUCAUUGAGAUUUGCAAAAUAAUACUGUGGGUGCAAAGGUGGCCACCGCCACAGCCCUUCUGCAAACUGCUCUGGGGAGUCAGGUGGUGACUCACUACUAACCGGGGCUGCAGGUGCUGGCUUUCCCACUCUCUGUCUGCAUUAUCAUGGGCCACUCACUUGUGUUCUUCCAACACAUUUUCUCAGCGGUGAAAGGGGGGGUGCAGAGUGCACUCUUAGAGUUUUCAUCUAAUGAGCAUCGAAUGCAGUGUUUGUGAAGUGAUUAGCCACUUGGCACAGGGGAGGAGCUCGAUAAAUUAGCUAUUGUUAUAAUGAUUAAUGUUAAAAUAUCUUCCCUCUUUAUUGUUUCACAGGUAGGCAUGCCAACUCCUGAGCUGAUUCGUGGGUCACCUAGAAAAGAAAUCCAAUAAUAAUAACAACAUUAAUUGCAGCUGUCACAUAUUGAACACAGACAAAGUGCCAGACACUGUGCUAAAUGCCUGACAUGCAAAAUCUAUUGACUCCAAUCCAUAUAACAACCUUAUAAAGCAAGGUAUUAUUACUUGCAUUUGCUAUGUAAAGAAGCUCAGAUUGGAGGGUUUGUCAGUGGUUUUCAAACUUGAGUGCACAAGAAGCUGAGUUCUCUCCCAGAAUUUCUGACUCAGUAGGUCUGGGCUGGGGCCCCAGGAUUUCCAUUUUCACAAGUCCCCAGGUGCUGCUACUGCUGACCUGAGGGCCACGUGGGAGAAACAUCAAUUCAAGUUGGCACAAUGAGUAAGUGAGAGAAUGAGUUUCCAAAAUUAAAAAUCUGACUUGGAAAUAUACUCUUAGAAAUCUAUAUUCCUUCAAAUUUUCUAACAUUAAACUUUUGAAUUAAUAGCUGGUUGCUGCAUUCACAAAGCACAGUAGCUUGGAUGGCUGCUUAUUUGUAUUAAAUGUUCUUUUCCAUGAAGUUCUUCAUGGCACAAAACAGUUGGUGAUACCUUCAAAGGGGAGGAUUUCAGGGACAUUUGCAGAAGGAGCAUAAAGUGCUUAAGUCACCUCUACUUGGCCAUGCUUGAGAUCAGCAGCCCUGAUGGCGUAAAGGAUUUGCUAGGGCUGUGACCCACUUCCAGCUGCAAGAUUCAUCAGAGCUUCCAAGAUGGAGCCCAGCUGAGCAAGCCACACCUGGCUACCAUCUGUGCCUGAGAGGCAUGGUGUUACCUGGGUUCCCAACCAGGAAGAGCUCUCAACAAGUACCCAACUUGGGCAUCAGAGGGCUCUGGAUCCAUUGAAUAUUGCUCAGGUGAGCCAUUGCAUCUAGUCAGCCUGGGGGACCACUGGAGCAAGCUGCCAUUGGUAUGAAAACUGGGAUAUGUUUGGGUUCACAUUGGAUGGUUUGGGACUGCAGGAGAGGAGCUUUCCAGAAGCAUGUGGUGAGAAAUAUGAAAGGAGACUGAGGACAUAGGGAUAGAGCUACAAUAAAAGCUGAAAGUCCCUUAGUGCAUACCAGUACUCUCGCAAAAGGUCAUUGGCACCUUUAUUUGGUUGUGAAUGCAAAGAACUGGCAUCCAAAUAUGUAAGCAAAGUGCACAUCAAGAAAUGUAAAUACUCAGGGAAAAGAGCUAAACUGAGGAAAACAGUGAGUGCCAUGGACAGUGAGAGAAGCUGGCCGAUGGGCGACUGCAGUGAUGCAGGAUGGAGGGACAGGGUACACACUGGAUUUGCUCUCAAGAGCCUCAGGUCCCAGUGCUAACUCUAUAGAUUGAAUUGGUUGAUUUUUGAGGGGCCUUCCUCUUCUAUAUACAUGUAUGUAUUUAUUUGUACCUUCACUCAUUCAUUCAACAUUUUUUUUACUAAGCAUAUAUUAUGAGGCAAAUACUUUUAUAGACACAGGCAGUAAAAGCUCAGACACCAGUUUCUGCUGUCCUGGAGGUUAAUCAUCAACGAGUGAGACAAUAUACAAAAUAAAUUGUAUAGUAUAUUAGGCCAUAAAAAGUUCCAAAGAGAAAAGUCAAAAUGGAAAGAUGAUAUGGAUUAGCAGGUGGUGUGGCUGAAAUAUGGCUUGUCUAUUCCCAACUACAUUUAUCAAGGUUGUUAUGGUUUGGAUCUGAAAUGUUCCUCUAAAGUCUCAUGUGUUCAGAGGUGGGAUUUUGGAAAAUGAUUCAGUCAUGAUCAUUCUAAUUUCAUCAGUGGAUUAAUCCAUUGAUGGAUUCAUAAUGUGAUGGCAUUCCUGGGAGGUGACAGAAACAGGAGGUGGGAACCAGUUGAAGGCAGUGGGUGAUGAGAGUGUUAUGUUGGGAAUUAUAUCUUGGUUCCAGCCCUUUUCCCUCUGACCCUUUCAUUCUCUCUCUGUUUCCUAGCCACCAUGAGUUGAGUAGCUUUCCUCUAUCACACCUUUCCCCCAUGAUAUUUCUGCUGUACCACAGGCCUAAAAGCAAUGGAAGCAACUAACCAUGGACUGAACUUCUGAAACCAUGAGCCAAAACAAAUCUUUGUUCUUAUAAAUUGAUUUUAUCAGGUAUUUUUUCAGAGCAAUAAAAUGAUAAUACAACCAUAAUAAAUACACUUUGGCUACAAAGAAAAGAAAACUAAGUCACACUGAUCUAAGGAUAAAAUGGAAAAAUUUUGGCAGUACAUAACCCAGAAGUCCUGCAGUUGAUAGUUUUAAUAGGCACUGUUACUUUUCCUUUCAGCACUCACUCCAUUGAUGCUUUCUGACAAAGCUCAGAUUUUCUGGGGUAUCUAACUCUUUCUCAUUUGACUUCUCUACCUCUGGGCAAGCAGGCCCUCCCACUAGCUCAUGGCUAAGCCAAUCAGCAGUCUUCGUUCCCCCAUUGAUCACAGUGAUUGGUUCUUGAGAAGACAAAGGUCCAAAAAAGUAGAAUAUCAGAAAUUCCACCUGAGUGCUUUCUUUUGCUGAACGUGAAGGGGCAAAAUCAUUGCUGGCAGCUAUCUUAUAACCAAGAAGAGGAGGAAGCUGCCUUAGAGUGAAGUAAAAAAGAGAUGAAGAGUAAAAACAAGAACAAAAAUUAAAACCCAAGAUCUGGAUGACACCAUUGAUCCAGUGAAUAAACAUUCUGGAGUCAAUCUGCCCACGUCUAGACUUAUUGUUAAAUGAGUCAAAAACAAUUUUCCUUAUGACUUAGAGGCAUUGAGUUGGGCUUUCUGUUAUUUUAAAUAGGAGGAUAAAAUAUCUAGCUCAGUCACAGUUAUAACCAGAUGCUCGCUCAUCAUGGGCCUCUACUUUUCUUCAUGUGGGCUUCACUCAGCCUGGCUUACCCACAGUGUCCACGGGCAGCCUCGUCCCCAGCAGCAAUGCCAGGCCUUCAGACCUCCUGGCUGUGUUACUCUGGGUCUGUAUCAGUCUUUGAACCAAGCACUGAGGUUGGGGAAUGGAAAACCACCAAUCUGGGAUGGAUGCCCUCUCCUGGGACCAGGGCUGCAGCCUAAUGCAUUUACAUCACAAUGUUUGAGAAAGUUGAUUCUUCAUAUUAGGGAAUUGUUACUAGAAACUUGGGACAUGGAUGUUGGACCAUCAGAAAGCAUGAAGAUUUGCCGUAAUAUUUAAUUUUCUAUUUGGACAUCUUACAUGUCCCACUACAAAAGGAAAAGUUAAGGUGAAGUGAUUGCUCCCAACAGUUUUAUCACCAAAGACCACCUCUCUUGCCAUUCCCUGUUGCCCACUGCUGCCACCAAAUUAAACUAACUUAGAAAUAUUUUGUCUGUAAUUCACCUAUGCACCCAUCACUACUUUCACGCACUAGUUGUGGAGUAUCCAUUAGCUUCCAGUCUUGUUCUGUUCCAUGAGAGCACAGCAAUGACAAAUGUUGGAAGAAAUGUGAUCACUCUGAUCAAUGACAAAAGAAUUCAGGAGUUUGCUGGAGGUUUUCAUUCAGUGUUAAAAAGCUGUAGCUGUAGUAGAAAACCCUUCAUGCUCAUGGUCUUUCUAUUCUGCUUGGAAAGUAGGUAUGAGAAUGGGAUGUCUGGAGCAGAGGCAGAAGAUGUGAAGCCAGGAAGUGACGUGGAUGAGGAGGAAUUGGCAGGUUGAGCCUAGUGGGACAAAAAGAACAGUGAAGGUCUGGAGCCAUGAUGGUCAGCACAAACUCUAGGUCAGUGGGGAACCUAGACUCAUACUCACCCACGUUUCUCAUUAGGUGACAGAGCCUAGGUCUUCAUUGCUCAAGGCACAGCAAGAGUAUUCUGUCACAAAGAGUCAAAUGCUUUCCUGAUUGCUACAGUCAGAUCCAGGAGAGGUCCCUGAGCAGCUUGUGAUCUGAAGUUCUGUAGUGAACUGAUAAUUACGAACAUCACCAGCGUCCAUCCUGAAAAGAAAGCACUGGAGCUUAUAUCAGGGGACCUAAUCAUUCAAAGAAACUACAGGUAUGCAACAAGCAAUAAUAUUUCUUUAGUAGUUUAGAGAAUUAGGUGAGAGAUCCACAUAGUAAAUAUUUUCCUGUUGCAGCCCAUAUUGGCCUCUGUUGCAUCUACCCAGCUCUGCUGGUGCAGUGGAAAAGAAGACAUAGACCAUAUGUAAAUGAACAGGCAUGGUAGUGUUCCAAUAAAACUUUAUUUACAAAAACAGGCAGUUGGCUGGAUUGGCCAGUAGUUUGCUGACUCCCAAAUUAGCCACUCACAAUUGAGUGUGCAAUAAAGACAGCAAUGAAGGAGACUGUGUGCCCCUUAUUAAAACACAGAAAACCAGUCAUAGUCCUGCACUGCGAAUUUUCCAAUGCCAGGUCCUUACGUGCACACACUCUGUAACUCCCUGAUGCAUCUAUCUCCUGCCUUCCUGUUCUCCCACAGCUAUGGAGGAUGAGAUGGGUCAGGUAGGCAUAGAAGCACUAAUGGGAGCAGUUGGGAAAGUAUAGAGCAGCCCUCUCUGAUGAAAACAACACACCAUGGUAAUGUGAAUCAGGCAAAGAUACAAAACCAGCCCUGGAUGAUUUUUGCUAGAAUUUUUGUGACCCACGUACACUGCGUUUGUCAUCAGCUCAAAGACAGCAGUUGUGGUUAGAAGAAAUCUUCAAACCACGUAAUGUGUGCUGCACUGUGAUUUAUAGGGGGUGUGAUUUAUAUUGUGAAUUUUAAACCUUUUAAUAUACCUCACAAGAAGUUGUACAGUUCAUAAAACAUCACAAGAGGCUUCCAAAGAGAAACCCAAAUGAAGAAAAGAUACAUUUUGCCAUCUGAGUUUUGAAUGGAGCUUCUGCACAGUGCUGAAGCCUGAGCUGAUCAGGUUUGCUUAAUCCUACCUUUCCCUGACAAGAUGAAUAGUUGUAGAACAUAGCACCCUUUUCCGUAUCUCACACCAUGGAUCUAUUAGUAUUGCUAUUUAUUGGAAAGAGGAGAGAGUGCUAAUUUAUACAUACAUUUGUUUUGUAAAAAUUCUACUCCUAUUCUCUGAUUGGUCCAAAUCCCCCAGAAUAUUACGUUUCUGUGAUCUGUAAUGUGGCUGGAAGGGGAAAUGCUAAGUCGUUUAAGAAUUUCAAAUUCCUAUACUGCCACUUGUAGUGAACUGUGUCAUUUACAGAGCCAUGCAGUUUUCCCCCUGCCCAAAAUGUCACAAAAAGAAAAGUGAUUCACAGCAGUUUACACAUGCCAAACACAUUUGUCGAAUAAACAGCACAGAGCAAACUGCAAUUGAAAUACCACCCCGUAAAGAAACACAGUAGUUAAUCUGAUUUUAAUUGAAAUGUUGCAUGUUGAUACCUUUUGUUUAUGCAUGAGACAAAGCUGAUAUAAAGGAGAAUAAUGAUGAUAAUCAUAUUCGAGGCAUUUUGAAGGUUGGGACUUCUGAAGCACUUCAGGAAGAAAAGAAAUACCACAUGUACUCAUGCUAAAGAAAUGUUGCAUUUGGUUUAGAAAAUGCUUCCAAUAUGGUAAUGAAUCAGGUAAAAUUUCCAUUUCAGUGCAGUGCUGAAUUGAGCUACUGUGUGCUUCAGGGAGCUAUGUUUGGGCACUCGAUAAUUAAAUAAAAAGCUGAAUUAUUGGAUAUAAUGGACCCCAAUUGUUUUUGGUGCCUAACUUUUAUUCAUCCUCCUCCUUUAAAUAAUACCAUUUAGAAUUUGCUUAGGGGAAGUUCAUUUUCUACUGUGCUCAACAAUGCCAUUCUCGUGGUAUGGCUCCAUAAUUUCUCAGGGAUGAGCUAAAGCUAAUAACCUCCCACACUCUCCUUCUGGCAACCAGGAUUCGACCCAGGGUGGGUAAAACUAUGUCAGAAGCAAGAUCUGUAGGUGUGCUAGCAUUCUAGGUAAAAAGAAGGGUUUCUUUUUUUCUUGAGAACCGCAUAGGGGGAGCCAUUUCCUCUGAAGUCUAUGUAAUAUGAAGAUAGGAAGAUUUGAGUAGUGUCCUUAUUACCAGAAUGGAAGAGCCUGGAAUUGGCAGUGGGAUCCACUGAGGCUGAAAGAAGCACUAAUACUGUGCAAGACAGAAUAUGAAAAAUAAAGAAAAAGACUGACCUUUGAUGACACUAGUUCCAGGUGUACCUGAUGCCAGUUCUGCCCUUCACCUUUUCAGGGAUACAAGACCAUACAUUCUGUUAUUCUUCAAGCAGUUUGAGUUGAUUUCUAUCAUUUUCAAUGGCAAGAUGUGGAACCCGUCCUUUAGUUUUGUCAAACCGAGGAUUAUAUAUCAAAUAUAUUAAUGUCCUUUCAAUUAGUUAUGCGAGGAAAAUGGGAUGUAUGCAAUGGGAUGUAUGCUAUGGGUUUUGCUUUACUGUUUGGUUUACUGUAUCAUUUUCAGUUGGAAUAAAAGGCAUCCUAGGUUA